AAACUCACCAGGUCAGGACACGGUAAGGAUUGACGGACUGAAGGCUCUUUCUCGAUUCCGUGGAAAGUGGUGCAUGGCCGUUUUUGGUUGGUGGAUCGAUCCGUCUGGUUAAUUCCGUUAACGAACGAGACCUCGGCACUCCGAAUAGCGCGGCGGACGUCGCGGCCUCCGGGCCGUCUUCCGCACGAGCUUCUUAGAGGGACCGUCCCCCGCCGGGGAAGGAGGUGCGAGGCAACGACAGGUCUGUGAUGCCCUUAGAUGUUCUGGGCCGCACGCGCAUUACACUGACGCGUCCAACGGGUGACUCCCGACCCGAAGGGGCCGGGGAAUCCGCAAGGCGCGUCGUGAUGGGGAUUGAACGUUGCAAUUGUUGUUCACGAACGAGGAAUUCCUAGUAGGCGCGGGUCAUCAACCCGCGCCGAUUACGUCCCUGCCCUUUGUACACACCGCU
rnacentral:rRNA from 1 species